rnacentral:rRNA from 1 species
CAGAGGUUACUGCUAUCGAGAUUCGACUAAGCCAUGCGAGUUGAAUGUUCUUCGUGAACAUGGCGGACUGCUCAGUAACACGUGGACAACCUACCCUUGGGUCCGGCAUAAUCCUGGGAAACUGGGAAUAAUUCCGGAUAGGUCACCGAUGCUGGAAUGCGCGGUGGCCGAAAGCUCCGGCGCCCGAGGAUGGGUCUGCGGCCUAUCAGGGUUGUAGUGGGUGUAACGUACCUACUAGCCUACGACGGGUACGGGUUGUGAGAGCAAGAGCCCGGAGAUGGAUUCUGAGACACGAAUCCAGGCCCUACGGGGUGCAGCAGGCGCGAAAACUUUACAAUGCGGGAAACCGUGAUAAGGGGAUCUCGAGUGCCAGCAUAUAAUGUUGGCUGUCCAGAUGCCUAAAAAGCAUCUGUUAGCAAGGGCCGGGCAAGACCGGUGCCAGCCGCCGCGGUAACACCGGCGGCCCGAGUGGUAACCGCUAUUAUUGGGUCUAAAGGGUCUGUAGCCGGCCAGGUAAGUCCCUUGGGAAAUCUGGCAGCUCAACUGUCAGGCUGCUAGGGGAUACUGUUUGGCUUGGGACCGGGAGAGGUGAGAGGUACCUUGGGGGUAGGGGUGAAAUCUUGUGAUCCUCGAGGGACCACCAGUGGCGAAGGCGUCUCACCAGAACGGGUCCGACGGUAAGGGACGAAAGCUAGGGGCACGAACCGGAUUAGAUACCCGGGUAGUCCUAGCCGUAAACGAUGCUCGCUAGGUGUCAGUCACGGUGCGACCGUGAUUGGUGCCGUAGGGAAGCCGUGAAGCGAGCCACCUGGGAAGUAUGGCCGCAAGGCUGAAACUUAAAGGAAUUGGCGGGGGAGCACYACMACCSSGYGGAGCCUGCGGUUUAAUUG